UACGAAGGGAGCUAGCGUUGUUCGGAAUCACUGGGCGUAAAGGGUGCGUAGGUGGCGUGGUAAGUCAGAUGUGAAAGCCCGAGGCUCAACCUCGGAAUUGCAUCCGAUACUGCUAUGCUAGAGUAUUGAAGAGGUGACUAGAAUUCUCGGUGUAGCAGUGAAAUGCGUAGAUAUCGAGAGGAAUACCAAAGGCGAAAGGCAGGUCACUGGGCAAUUACUGACACUGAGGCACGAAGGCUAGGGGAGCAAACGGG
rnacentral:rRNA from 1 species